rnacentral:misc_RNA from 1 species
GUAGGUGAACCUGCGGAAGGAUCAUUAUUGAAUAAGCUUGGUUGGGUUGUUGCUGGCUCUUCGGGGCAUGUGCACGCCUAACACCAAUCUUCUUACCACCUGUGCACCUUUUGUAGACCUGGAUAUCUCUCGAGGAAACUCGGUAUGAGGACUGCUGUGCGUCAUAGCCGGCUUUCCUUACAUUUCCGGUCUAUGUCUUUAUAUACACCAUUUGUAUGUUUAAGAAUGUUAUUAUCGGACUUUACUGUCCAAAAUAAACCUUAUACAACUUUCAACAACGGAUCUCUUGGCUCUC